rnacentral:rRNA from 1 species
UACGUAGGUGGCAAGCGUUGUCCGGAAUUAUUGGGCGUAAAGCGCGCGCAGGCGGUCCUUUAAGUCUGAUGUGAAAGCCCACGGCUCAACCGUGGAGGGUCAUUGGAAACUGGGGGACUUGAGUGCAGAAGAGGAAAGCGGAAUUCCACGUGUAGCGGUGAAAUGCGUAGAGAUGUGGAGGAACACCAGUGGCGAAGGCGGCUUUCUGGUCUGUAACUGACGCUGAGGCGCGAAAGCGUGGGGAGCAAACGG